ensembl:lncRNA
UGAUGUGUACAGCUGGCGAGCUGCAGCGGUUGUACUAAUGUACUGUUAGAGAAACCGUGUGAUUAUUGUAACGGUGGACAGCGCACGGCAAGGACCGGUUGGGGUGAGCCGGAGGCUGGCGCGUCAGCGGGACCUGCCAAGCUGGAGACAGAUGUGCGCAGGGGUCCUGCCACACCCGAGGGCAGCGUGCUGUCCGGUCCAGCCUCUCUUCCAACAGAGGCAGCACGCUGCGCAGUACUGCGCGCCGACCGCCUGCUCAGCUGCCUGUGAGCCCCGGCUCACUUCCAUGCCUGCUGCCCCGCGGCUGUUUGCCACAUGGAAGGCUACCUGGGGCGACGAUGAUCCGGGCCGAUUCCCUUGCCUGCUCGCGGAGGGGGCGAGUAGGUUAGAUUCGGCCUCAGGGGCGAAGGGGGUAUGUGGCGGAGUACGUUCUGCGAUGCGCUGCAGAUUGAUGGACUGUAGUUUGUCAGAGAUCAGCUGUGAUUGUCUGGCAGCAGCGCUGAAGUCCAACCCCUCCCAUCUGAGACAGCUGGACCUGUGGGGAAACAACCUGAAGGAUCCAGAUGUGAAGCAGCUGUGGGAUCUUUAGCAGAGUCCAGACUACAGACUGGAGACUCUGAGGUGGAGGUGAUGAUGGUAAACAGGACGGUGUGUGUGCUGAGGGAGGAGAAGCUGUGUCCUGAUGAUCCAGAGAGGUUGAAGCAGCAGCAGCUUGUGUGUAGAGAUGCUCUGACUGGGCCAUGUUACUGGGAGGUGGAGAGGAGAGCUUCAUCCAGCAGUGACUGACAGAGGAAUAAGCAGAAGUGCAGAUGACUGUCAGUGCUGCAGAGUGAACUGCUCUGAGAACAGCUCCACUAUCAGACACAAUGUAGAGUCCAGCAUCAUCCCUGUGUGUCCCUCUGGAUCUGACAGAGGAUCAUCAGUGUAUCUGGACUGCUCUGCUGCUGCUCUGUCCUUCUACAGUCUCUGCACAGUCUCUGUCUGACUCUGGCUUCAGAUCCUCCUGGAUCAAACUCACCUGGAAAGACUUUCAAACAUCACUCAAUAGAUUUGAAUACAGAAUAUAUUUGAUAUAUACUGUAGAUGUACUUUAGAGUUGCAGUUUGUCACUUGUAAAUACAGUCUGUGAGCAACUAUGAGCUGAAAGAUCUUUCUAGAAAUACAAAAUGUUUUCGCUCUUCUGUUGCUUUUUCAUAUAUUUCCACAACAUUAAUAUUGAUCCCACCUGUCUCACCUGUUUCAUGCUUUUAUACAUAAAACCGGACUCGUGUGAUUUGAGGCUGCUGUGGUUGCUGUGCUGCACGUCUUCAUUUAGAUAAUAGAGUUAUCUAGUGGUUCAGAGGGAGAACUGCAGGAGGUGGAGCUGUGUUUUAGCAUGGAAAACUUUUUAUCUUUUAGGCGCAGAUACAAAUAUGACAAGUAUCAGUGUAAGAUACAAAAG